rnacentral:lncRNA from 1 species
AUGCUGGAGAUGUUUGAGAAAGAUGACACUGACAUGCAGACAUCCGGCCCAGACUUUGUCCCCACGGCUCUGUAUGACUCCCUGAGGAGGGAGUUUGAAGCUCUGCAGGAGCACUACUCCCAGGCCCAGGCUUCAGCUGAGGCCUCCAGCAUGGCAGGGGAACAGGGGUAAGGAUUACCACCCACACCAUCUUACACCAGCCACCUUAUACCUUCUGGAUAAGAGCAUCUACUAAAUGACUAAAAUGUCACAUUCACACCACCCACUAGGGUUCGAGUUCAAUUUAUAGAGGUGCCCUGGGGUGCUUAAAUCAACAUGGACACCCCCAUAAGGGUUCAAAAUAUUACCACUGGUCCAGCCCACUAUUUUUAGCAUCUUUAAGCCCACUAUUUAAGAGUCUGAGUGUAAUUUGAACCCUGCCAGCCACAGUAUUGUAAUUAGAAGAUUCUAGCUAACAUAAUAUGCCUCUACAACCAUAGUUAAACCUCUCACUUCACUUCAGUUCUGAUGUUUGUUGUCUUUUACACCUGCAUUGCUUGCUGUUUGGGGUUUUAGGCUGGGUUUCUGUACAGCACUUUGAGAUAUCAGCUGAUGUAAGAAGGGCUAUAUAAAUUGAUUUGAUUUUCUGCAGGUGUGAGGAGGUGGAAGGGGGAGGAGAUGGGGUGUCAGGGGCAGAGGGGAAGGAGCGGACAGAGGAGAUGGAGGGGGAGAGCAGUAAGGAGCUGAAGGAGAGGCUGUGUGGGCUGGAGGAGCAGCUGGCCCACUCCCAGUCUGAACUGGAGGAGCUGAGAGAACAGGUGCACCUUGAGGUCUACUCCGUGGAACAGGCAGGGGGCCAUGGGGGCACGGUGGGUGAGACGGAGGGGGCGGGCCAGGAGACGCAGCAGCUGAGAGAGAGGGUGAGGGACCUGGAGGCGGUGCUGAAAGAGCGAGAGAGACAGGGGGAGGGACAGAGUGAGGGCGAGAGCACAGGGGACAAUGACACAGUCAAACAGCUGAGAAAGAAAGUUCAGAAACUACAGGCAGCCCUGGAAGAUAAAGGAACAGAAAAAGAGGGCGAAAAGGAGGACGGAGGAGGGGAGAGUGAGACAGUGAGGAGCCUCAGGGAGAGGGUGAGCGAGCUUGAAGCCGACCUGGCAGAGAGCAAGGAGUCAGGGAGAGCGGGGGAAAGGAGAGAGGGUGUGGUAAAGCAAGAAGGGGAGGUGGUGUGGAGGCUGCAGGGGCGUGUGGGGGAGCUGGAGGAGGAGCUGAGGCAGUGUGUUCCCCGUUCGGAGCUGGAUGAGGUGCAGGUGACCCUGGGUCUGCAGUGUGAGCAGCUGGCCAGGGAGAGAGCUGAGGCCAGCCUGAGACUGAACGAGGCUUUACUGGAGCUGGAGAGACUACGCCCCCCCAGCCCCACACACCACCAAGGAGACGAGGAGGAGGAAGAGGAGGAAGAUAGGUCUGAGGGGUCAGAGCCCUCCAUCACAUCAGAGCCCUCCCUGAGACGGGUGAGAGAGGAACUGGAGGUGGCUAGGCAGGAAGCAGCUCAGGCUCUGGACUGUUUGUGUGCGGAACGCGAGGGCCGGGCCCAGGACACCCUCCACAUGAGAGACGCAGUGUCCCUGUCCCAACACACAGAGGCGCUAUCGGCCCUGUCGGAGCAGCUGGCGCAGACAGCCCAGGAGCUGCAGGCAGAAAGGGCCCUGCGAUGCCAUGCCCAGACUGAGACGGCUAGGCUAGAGGCCCAGCUACAGGCCACACAAGAGGACCUUAUACCCAGGGAGGAGCACAAUAAAGUUAAGGUUAGCUUGACGAGAAAUGCAUGCAAGCGACGAGGGACUUAG